CCGAGUUAUUCAACUCAUCAACCCUGUGACAUACCUAAACGUUGCUUCGGCGGGAAUAGACGGCCCCGUGAAACGGGCCGCCCCCGCCAGAGGACCCUUAACUCUGUUUCUAUAAUGUUUCUUCUGAGUAAAACAAGCAAAUAAAUUAAAACUUUCAACAACGGAUCUCUUGGCUCUGGCAUCGAUGAAGAACGCAGCGAAAUGCGAUAAGUAAUGUGAAUUGCAGAAUUCAGUGAAUCAUCGAAUCUUUGAACGCACAUUGCGCCCGCCAGUAUUCUGGCGGGCAUGCCUGUUCGAGCGUCAUUACAACCCUCAGGCCCCCGGGCCUGGCGUUGGGGAUCGGCGGAGCCUCUCUGUGGGCACACGCCGUCCCCCAAAUACAGUGGCGGUCCCGCCGCAGCUUCCAUCGCGUAGUAGCUAACACCUCGCGACUGGAGAGCGGCGCGGCCACGCCGUAAAACACCCAACUCUUCUGAAGUUGACCUCGAAUCAGGUAGGAAUACCCGCUGAACUUAAGCAUAUC
rnacentral:rRNA from 1 species